GGAUAAGUGAGACUCUACUGUAAUAAUAAAUAAGAGUAAAAUAAUAAAUGCAAUAAUAAUAAUACUAAGAUCAGAGUGAAAUAAUAUUUGAAUGGUGUUUAUGUGAUGGCAGGGCGGAAGUGGGUAGGGAGGGAGGGAGGCGCAUGCGCAGAGACGCCGCCACGGGCCUGGAGGGCGGAGCAGGCCGCAGAGUCCCCACCGGGAAGAGGCCUUGAGCCCAGGAGGAGGGGAGGCGGGCCAAGGCCGGAGAGGAGGCCCCGGAGCCUCGGCGGCAAAGCCCGGAGUCCCAGCCCGGAAGGGGAGGGGCGGGGCAAACUCGGGGACCACUCCACACACACACUCACACUCACCGCCUCCUCCGCCGCUUUCUUCAUCCAGCGUCUCCCGCGCUCGCUCGCUCUCUCCUCCGGAAGUGAGCACACAGGGAAAGGCGCCGCCCGACCCUUCUCGUCCUGCGCCUCUCUAGGAAGACGCCUCCCUUACUCGGUGGACUUCCGCCCUGGCUUAACAUGGCAGCCGCGGGCAGGAUGCCCAGAGAGGGGCGGGGCUUCGCGGCACUUGAACGGAGCUCUAUACAGAGAGACGCUCCUCCUUCCUUUUCCUCCCAAC
rnacentral:lncRNA from 11 species